rnacentral:rRNA from 1 species
GACGAACGCUGGCGGCGUGCUUAACACAUGCAAGUCGAACGGAAAGGCCCUGCUUUUGUGGGGUGCUCGAGUGGCGAACGGGUGAGUAACACGUGAGUAACCUGCCCUUGACUUUGGGAUAACUUCAGGAAACUGGGGCUCAUACCGGAUAGGAGCUCCUGCUGCAUGGUGGGGGUUGGAAAGUUUCGGCGGUUGGGGAUGGACUCGCGGCUUAUCAGCUUGUUGGUGGGGUAGUGGCUUACCAAGGCUUUGACGGGUAGCCGGCCUGAGAGGGUGACCGGCCACAUUGGGACUGAGAUACGGCCCAGACUCCUACGGGAGGCAGCAGUGGGGAAUAUUGCACAAUGGGCGGAAGCCUGAUGCAGCAGCGCCGCGUGCGGGAUGACGGCCUUCGGGUUGUAAACCGCUUUCGCCUGUGACGAAGCGUGAGUGACGGUAAUGGGUAAAGAAGCACCGGCUAACUACGUG